AACGCUAGCGGCAUGCCUAACACAUGCAAGUCGAACGGCAGCGCGAGGAGCUUGCUCCUUGGCGGCGAGUGGCGGACGGGUGCGUAACGCGUAGGAAUCUACCUCGUAGCGGGGGACAACCCGGGGAAACUCGGGCUAAUACCGCAUAAUCUCUUCGGAGCAAAGCAGGGGACCGUAAGGCCCAGCACUAUGAGAUGAGCCCGCGGCGGAUUAGCUUGUUGGUGGGGUAACGGCCUACCAAGGCUCCGAUCCGUAGCUGGUCUGAGAGGACGAUCAGCCACACUGGGACUGAGACACGGCCCAGACUCCUACGGGAGGCAGCAGUGGGGAAUCUUGCGCAAUGGGCGAAAGCCUGACGCAGCGACGCCGCGUGAGGGAAGAAGGCCUUCGGGUUGUAAACCUCUUUCAGGAGGGACGAAGCCACUCGGGUUAAUAGCCCAGAGGGUGACGGUACCUCCAGAAGAAGCCCCGGCUAACUACGUGCCAGCCGCCGCCGUAA
rnacentral:rRNA from 1 species